AGCAGGGAUGUCAUCGGCGAUUGGAAGAAGAAAGGAUCUAGUGGUGGGGGUUAGGGUGCUGUCGUUGGGCCUACGAACUGAUGGAAGAAAAAAAGCGCCUUAUUUGAAUCCAUUGGUUUUGAUUUGACAUGCUUAGAAUUAAGAUGAUCACUUGGCUUGAAUUGAACAACAAGAGAAAUUUACAAAAAAGAAAAAAAAAAAAAAGAAAAGAUUGAUUUCUAUACAAGGUAUAACUUGCAAUAAAAAAAAAAAAAAAAAAAAAAAAGAAAAGGAAGAAAAACACAAACAAACAAACAAAUAAUUUAAAAUUUCAAAUAUCAAUUAACGAUGAAAUUUAUGGCGGAUAAAGUCAAAGAAAAAAAAAGAGGCAAAAAGAAAAGGAAGAAAAGGAAAAUAUAAAACAAAAAGAAAAGAAGAAAAGAGAAAGGUAGAUAUGUUUGUACAUAUAGGAGCGUGUAAUUUUAAAUUAAGAUGGUGUUAUAAGAUUUGAGAUAUCUCAUAUCAUGAUUAGCUGAUUGUUCUCACGAUAUUUAAUAGAAAAAAAAAAAAAUAAAAAAAUAAAAAAAUAAAAAAAUAAAAUAAAAAUAAAAAA